GAUGAACGCUGGCGGCGUGCCUAAUACAUGCAAGUCGAGCGAACAGACGAGGAGCUUGCUCCUCUGACGUUAGCGGCGGACGGGUGAGUAACACGUGGAUAACCUACCUAUAAGACUGGGAUAACUUCGGGAAACCGGAGCUAAUACCGGAUAAUAUAUUGAACCGCAUGGUUCAAUAGUGAAAGACGGUUUUGCUGUCACUUAUAGAUGGAUCCGCGCCGCAUUAGCUAGUUGGUAAGGUAACGGCUUACCAAGGCAACGAUGCGUAGCCGACCUGAGAGGGUGAUCGGCCACACUGGAACUGAGACACGGUCCAGACUCCUACGGGAGGCCGCAGUAGGGAAUCUUCCGCGAUGGGCGAAAGCUUGACGGAGCAACGCCGCGUGAGUGAUGAAGGUCUUCGGAUCGUAAAACUCUGUUAUUAGGGAAGAACAAAUGUGUAAGUAACUAUGCACGUCUUGACGGUACCUAAUCAGAAAGCCACGGCUAACUACGUG
rnacentral:rRNA from 1 species